rnacentral:misc_RNA from 1 species
GUCCAUUUUAGAGAUAUUGGGGACAACAGCUCUUAAUGCAUAGAAUCUCUGAUUGAGCUUCUCCCUCCUCUGUCGCUCUGCUUCGACAUGAUUCAGUGGCUCUUCACGCCCAUUGGCAGGCUUUCUCCCUCUCUUCCUUGGUUUCCUCUCAUCUAGCUGAGGUGACAAGUCAUCCUUAGGCUGCUCCAAACCAGUAACCAUAGUUUCAGCAUUGAAACCUGAAAGAUUCAUUUGGUUCAACUGUGGAAAAA